rnacentral:rRNA from 1 species
ACUACGGGAUGCUGCAGUGGGGAAUAUUGGACAAUGGGCGAAAGCCUGAUCCAGCCAUGCCGCGUGUGUGAAGAAGGCCUUCGGGUUGUAAAGCACUUUCAGUGGGGAAGAAAGCCUUGGGGCUAAUACCCUCGAGGAAGGACAUCACCCACAGAAGAAGCACCGGCUAACUCCGUGCCAGCAGCCGCGGUAAUACGGAGGGUGCGAGCGUUAAUCGGAAUUACUGGGCGUAAAGCGCGCGUAGGCGGUCUGAUAAGCCGGUUGUGAAAGCCCCGGGCUCAACCUGGGAACGGCAUCCGGAACUGUCAGGCUAGAGUGCAGGAGAGGAAGGUAGAAUUCCCGGUGUAGCGGUGAAAUGCGUAGAGAUCGGGAGGAAUACCAGUGGCGAAGGCGGCCUUCUGGACUGACACUGACGCUGAGGUGCGAAAGCGUGGGUAGCAAACAGGAUUAGAUACCCCAGUAGUC